GACGUUACCUACAGAAGAAGCACCGGCUAACUCCGUGCCAGCAGCCGCGGUAAUACGGAGGGUGCGAGCGUUAAUCGGAAUUACUGGGCGUAAAGCGCAUGCAGGCGGCCUGUUAAGUCAGAUGUGAAAGCCCGGGGCGUUAACCUCGGAAUUGCAUUUGAAACUGGCAGGCUAGAGUCUUGUAGAGGGGGGUAGGAAUUUCAGGUGUAGCGGUGAAAUAGCGUAGAGAUCUGAAGGAAUACCAGUGGCGAAGGCGGCCCCCUGGACAAAGACUGACGCUCAGAUGCGAAAGCGUGGGGAGCCAAACAGGAUUAGAUACCCUGGUAG
rnacentral:rRNA from 1 species